GAUGAACGCUAGCGGCAGGCUUAACACAUGCAAGUCGAACGGUAACAUUUCUUGCUUGCAAGAAGAUGACGAGUGGCGCACGGGUGCGUAACGCGUAUACAACCUGCCUUUAACUAAGGGAUAGCCCAUGGAAACGUGGAUUAAUACUUUAUAAUGUGUAUAGAUGGCAUCAUCCUUACAUUAAAGAUUUAUCGGUUAAAGAGGGGUAUGCGUGACAUUAGCUAGUUGGUGAGGUAACGGCCCACCAAGGCUACGAUGUCUAGGGGUUCUGAGAGGAUGAUCCCCCACACUGGUACUGAGACACGGACCAG
rnacentral:rRNA from 1 species